CCUACGGGGGGCUGCAGUGGGGAAUAUUGGACAAUGGGGGGAACCCUGAUCCAGCCAUGCCGCGUGUGUGAAGAAGGCCCUCGGGUUGUAAAGCACUUUCAGUGAGGAAGAACGCCUGGUGGUUAAUACCCAUCAGGAAAGACAUCACUCACAGAAGAAGCACCGGCUAACUCCGUGCCAGCAGCCGCGGUAAUACGGAGGGUGCGAGCGUUAAUCGGAAUUACUGGGCGUAAAGCGCGCGUAGGUGGCUUGAUAAGCCGGUUGUGAAAGCCCCGGGCUCAACCUGGGAACGGCAUCCGGAACUGUCAAGCUAGAGUGCAGGAGAGGAAGGUAGAAUUCCCGGUGUAGCGGUGAAAUGCGUAGAGAUCGGGAGGAAUACCAGUGGCGAAGGCGGUCUUCUGGACUGACACUGACACUGAGGUGCGAAAGCGUGGGUAGCAAACAGGAUUAGAUACCCCUGUAGUC
rnacentral:rRNA from 1 species